UGUAACCUACUAUAUUUCCAAAGGAGAUUCACCUGACGUAACAAUCGUCGUUCCUUCCAGCGAUCCUGAGCAGCCAUUCCUCACCAUUCUGCCCUACGCUGCUGAGAAGGCCUGCUUCGUUAUGAAAACGGCUGAGCUCCAAGAGCAGUGCAUCUUGUGGGUGGACGAAGCAAUCAAGGACAACUUCCCUGAGAAAUGCACUCAAGGAUACAAGGCAGCAUGCCCUGACGGAGCUUUGCUUUACAAAACGGGUGCGUGCGACGCUGUAAACGCAUCUUGAGGACAAGGAAAGUAAUAAAAGGAUUCAUUGACUAUGCCUGCGUUUGGACAAGUAUGCGGUAGUUGUGCAGUAGCCAUCGAUAGCAUCAAAUAGUUGAAAGCUGUAGGCGCCGUUGCCUCAGCCUGUAUGUAUUUAACCGUAGAAGAAUUAAAGUGCUUAU
rnacentral:lncRNA from 1 species